rnacentral:rRNA from 1 species
UACAGAGGGUGCAAGCGUUAAUCGGAAUUACUGGGCGUAAAGGGCCUGUAGGUGGUUUCUUAAGUUAGAUGUGAAAGCCCUGGGCUCAACCUGGGAACUGCAUCUAAAACUGGGGAACUAGAGUAUGGUAGAGGGAAGUGGAAUUUCUAGUGUAGCGGUGAAAUGCGUAGAUAUUAGAAAGAACACCAGUGGCGAAGGCGACUUCCUGGACCAAUACUGACACUGAGGGGCGAAAGCGUGGGGAGCAAACAGG